rnacentral:rRNA from 1 species
GACGAACCGUGCGAACGUUAUUCGGAAUCACUGGGCUUAAAGCGCGUGUAGGCGGGACGGAACGUCUGUCGCUGAAAUCCCCCGGCUUAACCGGGGAACUGGCGUAGAUACGACCGUCCUUGAGGGGCGUAGGGGGACCUGGAACUUCCGGUGGAGCGGUGAAAUGCGUUGAGAUCGGAAGGAACGCCCGUGGCGAAAGCGCUCUACUGGACGGCAACUGACACUCAGGGACGAAAGCUAGGGGAGCGAAUGGG